CCUGUCCGCUCCUGUUGUUUUUUAAAUCUUUCAUUCAUUAAAGAGUUUUAAUCACACACGUUUAAUUCUUAAAAUGAUCAAAACACGCAGAGCAUCCUUGAAGGCAAAGCAGCUGGAAGUAACCGAUCUGUCUGAGGACAGCAGAGACAGCAUCCAAUCAAAGGGAUCCGGGAAGUCUGAUGUUGAUGCCGAUGAGCUGGCGCAGGCCUUCAUGGACACCGAGAGCGAGGGCGAGUUCGAGGGAUUCUCUGCGGACGAGUGUGACUGGAGAAAA